rnacentral:rRNA from 1 species
AACGAACGCUGGCGGCGCGCUUAACACAUGCAAGUCGAACGAGAAGGCGUAGCAAUACGCUUGUACAGUGGCGAACGGGUGAGUAAUACGUGGGCGACCUACCCUCGAGUGGGGAAUAACCCGCCGAAAGGCGGGCUAAUGCCGCGUACGCUUCCAUCUUUAUGGAGGUGGAAGGAAAGCCGUGCCGUGGGCACGGCGCUCAAGGAUGGGCUCACGUCCUAUCAGCUUGUUGGAGGGUAACGGCCUACCAAGGCUCCGACGGUAGCUGGUCUGAGAGGACGAUCAGCCACACUGGCACUGCGACACGGGCCAGACUCCUACGGGAGGCAGCAGUGAGGAAUAUUGCGCAAUGGGCGAAAGCCUGACGCAGCGACGCCGCGUGGGGGA